rnacentral:rRNA from 1 species
GUCUUCUUGAUUAUAUAGGAAGUCUGACCUGCCCGGUGAAUAAGAAUUUAACGGCCGCGGUAUUUUGACCGUGCAAAGGUAGCAUAAUCAUUAGUCUUUUAAUAGAGGGCUGGAAUGAAGGGUUUGACGAAAUGCUUACUGUCUCAUUUAAUUUGGAAUUUGAAUUUGACUUUUUAGUUAAAAGGCUAAAUUGUUAUUGGAAGACGAGAAGACCCUAUAGAGCUUUAUAUUUUAAAAUUUAAGAAGUUUUUGUAUAAUUAUUAUUUUUUAAAUGGAAAAAUAUUUUGUUGGGGUGACAAAAAUAUAUAACAAACUUUUUUAUAAAAAUAACAUUGAUAUAUGAAUAUUAGAUCCAUUAGUAUUGAUUGUUAGAGAAAGUUACCUUAGGGAUAACAGCGUAAUCUUCCUUCAGAGUUCAAAUUUACAGGAAGGCUUGCGACCUCGAUGUUGGAUUAAGAUAAUAGUUAGGUGCAGCUGCUUAAUUUAUAGGUCUGUUCGACCUUUAAUUUCUU